rnacentral:lncRNA from 1 species
UGAGUUUGGAGAGCACGGUGUGCAGCCCUCGCAGGUGGUAGUGGAACUGCUGCUCUAGAUCUUCCUCGCCGGCAUCCGCGCUCUCCAGGUGACUCAGGCCCACCAGGAUGUCCUUGGGCUUCCAGGUGCUCUCCUCGCUCCCGGCCGGCGGAGACGAAGGCUGGUGCAGGACUCCCCACUCGAUAUCGUUGCGGAUGGACUUGAGCAGCACGUAGUGGCUGUACAUGUCCCGGGAGGGCGCGAAAAAGCUUUCAUUGGCGCUGCCCGGGCUUGGGGCCGGGGUCGUGCGCUCCUCCAGGCAGCCGCCACUGCCGCCUACCUCCACGCUGACCUCGUUGUCUAUCUCCGGCUCCGACAGGGGUACGUCGCGCAGCAGACUGGGCACCAUCACCGUCUGGUCCAUGUUGUUCACCGCGCCAAUGAAGCGAUUCAUGGCGUUAAAGAGCGAGUGCUCAAUUUAUAGUCCAGGAAAGGUGUCCCAGGCGCCCAGGACCACCCCUGAUGUCUCCUCCUCCGACCUCCUCCAGCAGCACAGAUAAAAGGUCC